rnacentral:rRNA from 1 species
UACGAAGGGUGCAAGCGUUACUCGGAAUUACUGGGCGUAAAGCGUGCGUAGGUGGUCUGUUAAGUCUGAUGUGAAAGCCCUGGGCUCAACCUGGGAAUUGCAUUGGAUACUGGCAGGCUAGAGUGCGGUAGAGGAUGGCGGAAUUCCCGGUGUAGCAGUGAAAUGCGUAGAGAUCGGGAGGAACAUCUGUGGCGAAGGCGGCCAUCUGGACCAGCACUGACACUGAGGCACGAAAGCUAGGGGAGCAAACAGG